rnacentral:rRNA from 1 species
GACGUAGGGCGCGAGCGUUGUCCGGAUUUAUUGGGCGUAAAGAGCUCGUAGGCGGCUUGUCGCGUCGACUGUGAAAACUUGGGGCUCAACCCCAAGCUUGCAGUCGAUACGGGCAGGCUAGAGUUCGGUAGGGGAGACUGGAAUUCCUGGUGUAGCGGUGAAAUGCGCAGAUAUCAGGAGGAACACCGGUGGCGAAGGCGGGUCUCUGGGCCGUAACUGACGCUGAGGAGCGAAAGCGUGGGGAGCGAACAGG